UUUCUCCACUUCAUCACUCGGCUUUGUGCAGUAUUGGGCGGUACAUUUGCCUUAACAGGAAUGUUAGAUCGGUGGAUGUAUAGACUUCUUGAUGCAGUAAUGAAGCCAAAUGCUAGAAGUAUGUCGCGGUAAACAUGGGG